UAGUUGACAGUCGAACGUCUCCAUCAAUUUUAAGGGAAAUCGGCUGAUUUGUAUGCGUGUGUAUAAAUAAUGCAUACGUUGGUCGCAUGACAUUUUUACGCAGCCGCGAGAUAAGAUCUAUAGACCGACGAAACUAGCCACAGGAACGUCCGAAUAACGCAUCACUGGUCGUGUCAUUGAAACACCAUAUUAUCACCUUUGAAUACGAGAUUCGGAACAAUCGAGUCUCAUUUCUGCUUUUAAACAGUCAACGACUAUAAGUGGUCAAUGAGACAAGAACACGAGUAAACGCGGAGACCGACUUUAUGUAGGCUCAACAAAGAGUGCCUUGUGUUCUCUGCUACCAGCUACGUCGCAGCUAAAUCUACUUAGAGACCACUGGUACCAUUGAUCAAGGUCGCUUCUUUAACUCAUCUUCUGAAUAAAAAUUAACGCGAUCUAAUGAUUAAAAGAAAAUUCUAAGAAGAAAAAGAAGAAGCGAAUAUUGCGAACAGCUGUUGAAUCGGUAUCGCGAAGGAGUGGACUCAUUUCGCCACCAAUUACGAAAUGAAGCAAGCAGUCACGAAUCAAGAAUAGAUUGCCUAAAUAAACGGCUUAAGAAAACUUGUCACUCGUUGGAUAAACUAUAUUCGAUCAACCGAUGCCUAUUUCUUCGUUCUUGAAACAAUUUAGCGUAUAAAUUUCAAGCAAAAAUUCCUGGUACAAUAUUUUUUUUUUUUUUUUACAAAGGUGAAAGAAAUUGGCGGUGUACUCCACCAUGAAAGGUGUACAGGGAAUAAUAAUGCAACUGCGAUCCGUGCGAUAAAGCCAGUCACCGCUCAAGGUCUGCCACUCGAGGAAACAUAUUUCCCUAGAGCGUGCAAUACGCGGACGAACAGAUACACCAUUGUGUGUGCAGACCCGUAGCGAGCUCGUGCGAAUCGAAUAGCGUGUACAUGUAAGCACCAACAGUUCCGUGCACACACAGACAAACUUAUCACAGAGAACAGAACACUGGUGAUGUAAUCGGUAACGUAAACCGCGGGCGACGCCGGGUCUACCAGAGUCGGCCGAUGGCCAGCAACCAAUGGGAAAACGUAGCGAGUUCGUUCUUCGGCCCGUGUAUAAUCCUUUCGCUCUGGCCUCGUUCCGCGAGCAAGCCUUUUGAUCGCGUUCCAUGCCCGCGCCAGGAUCAAGGAUACCGCAAUGAGAAUUCGUUUGGCAAGCCUCGACUUUCGACCGACUAUCCUAUGAUUUUUACCGUUCAAUCUUUCGAAAGAGAGCCAGAUUUCGUGGUCGCCCGUACGAACGUCUUUUACAGUUCGUAAGACGAGGCUCACACGGGACCAGUAGGCUUUAGAACGCGUCCCUUAUGGAUUAAGAAGAGAUUGCUUUGAGAAUUCACGAUAAAGAAAGAUCGUAAGCCGCUGGCAAACUGUUUUGGCAACAAACAGACGUGACUGGGACUAGGAAAGUUUGAAUCGCGAACUAGAGUACUAGCUUAUCGCAUCGUGCUCCCAUAUGGACCCUGUUGGUACGUACUACUAGAUGUCUGAAACGUCGGCGACGCACGGUCUAUACUACUGUCGCUCGCACCGAUAGCCUUGUAUAGCGACGAAUGGAAAUAUUUAAUUCGAGAUGAAAUCAUUUCACUGGAUAUUUUCAUAGUUGCACUUCGUACUUGAUACAAUUUCUGAUGGCAUUAGAAAAUACAUAGACCGACCGAGUCUUGACACCGUUCAAGAAGCGGGUCACGUAAAUAUUUUCGAAUGUUCGAUAUAUCUGCUAUCAACUUUAUUGCAUUCUUGGCACUAUAAACGAAAUCUUGUCGCUGAGAUGCGAUAUACCGUGCCCGUUGCCUCGUUCAAGGCAACGUAGAUAGGAAAGCGUCGUUUCAGGAUAUUCUCUGUGUACGUGCGAUGCAGCCCGAUGCAAAGAAUUUAUUUCCGAAUCGAUGCUUAAGGAAAGUUAAUCGUGAAAUCGAUGAAGCUACUAACAUCGACGAGGUAGCAAUAAAACGGCAAUUUAAAGGACGACAUUUAACCCAAGGAGAAUCGUUAUUUGCACACAGUAUCGCGACCGCGUUUUAAUGCCUCUUUUUUUCCAUACGAUUAGAAUUCAUGCGAACGAAAACAAUGAGCGUGCGGAUUGCUUGCCACUCGCGAGACCGCUUCUGAAGUUGAUCAAAGGUGGAGUGGCAGGCAGAAAGGCGAAGCGGUUUGAAGAGCUGGAAGCACGUAAGUCUGUUGGACAAUGCGCAAUUUGUCCCGAAAGAAACACGAGUACCAGCUUCCGUGUUCAAAAAUUAUACGUGACGGACGAAGGGGAGCAAGUAUUGUUACGCUCGCAGCAGGAAAUCAGCGAUAGCGCUAUUAGAAACGUGGCCAUUUAAAACCAUGGGGCUGACAAUAGUCAGCGAAAUUGGAUAAUACUACUGCGGAAUUUCAGCCUCUCACUUCCUUUCACGUUACACGUUGCUAGUAUCGGUCGAACGAAUCGUAGUACAUUUACUGGAAUAUUAUCCUUGACUCGCAGCCUCGAUUAUUAAAUACUAUGGAUUAAAUGUUACGGCGGUAGCUCGUCGCGAAAUUUUAUCAUCUCGAACGACCUCGUCGAGAAGAUAACCGAGUUAGCGCUCCCAGCUGCCCGGAGCGAAAUGGCGCAUCCAUCGCGAUGGGGUAAGAACUUCCGGGAAAAUUCCUUUCCACGAUAUCCAACGAAAUCGAAUAACAACAAACAUCCUUGACCUGGUUCACUGGGUUCGGAUGACAUUAACCCGAUCGUGUUGCCUUUUGAUAAACGACGCGGUAAACAAAAGCUCGAUGCAACGACUGUUUCGCAGAUAAAAGCAACUUCUCCGUUUCCAGGACAGCCCGGGCUGUCGAUCGAUCGAAAGGAAGCGGUGAAAAUAACGCGACCAUUAUCGACGAUAGAAAGUCACUAUCCCCAGGCCACGGAUAAAAUCAAUGAAAGCGAGUUGCUGCCCAUGUUCACGGUCAAUCGCGAGUACUUUGAAAGCGCAAGAAGAAUUGUUAGACCGGUAGAAAAAGCUUCGUGAUCGAUUUUAUCAGGACGAUCCGAGAGAUCGUAACCGUAAGAGAGUUCGAAAUCGGAUGCGCAUAAAUCAGGAUCAAGACACGUGGCAUAAGACCUUUUUAAGGAAAAGCCAGACCGCUACGUUACUGCUAAAAUAAACUAUACCGUUCGUAAAUCAUGUUUUUUACAUUUUCUCUCCUAUUUUUACACGUUCGAGCCCCUCCUUUUCCGUCCGAAGCUCGAUACACUUUCCCCGCAAGCGAAUCAACGAUUUCGAGCGAUCGUCGUUCACGCAACCCAGUUUCUAGCCGUCAGAAUCGGUGACCACGAGGCUACGUGGGAGACGGAUCGGGCAUAGAAAGUGAUGGGGCGUUUCCGGCUCUCGCUCGAGUCCCUCGGUAGACGGACGAUAACGAAAGGGAAGACGCGAGCCAAGAAGGGAGAGCGCGAAUCGAGAGGAAACAAGGAUGCCUGACAAACGACAUCGACUGGCACGUCGUCGCGUCGAUAGAAAGCAGCGAACCAACAACAGUUUUACCGUGAUACGCUCGACUUGGCACACGUGUGUCUGCCAGCAGAUGGUCGCUAUUGUACGGAGCGGAUCGACGACCGUCAGGAGAGGCUCGAUAGAAUCGCUGCUACUCGACUUCGAGACGCUCGAACGGCGAGAAAGGAAGGGAAAGAGAGGAAAAGAAGAGGCAUGAACACGCGUGUAUCGAAGAAGGAAUUGACCGCGGCGAAUAACCGAAGGUGAGCGGAGGACAGAUAGAUUUGCUCGAACGAGAGUGCAGCGUAUAGGUAGGUGUUGGCUCAUCUCCAGGGCAUUGUCUUUUUACGAUGACAAGUAGCCCCGAGGGCUGACGCGACAGCAGAGGAAGAGCUCGCCUCCGGGGAAAAGAGGCUCGCUACCAAGCAAGAAAGGAAAACAGCUCGUCUACUGUGUAAUGUGCCGACCUGGAACGUAUCACCGGGAGCCAUGGGUCAACGUUCGGACGAGAGGGAGAUAGUUUCUUUUUUUUUUUCUCGGUCGCUUUUAGAUCGUGGUAUAAAUAUAAACGGAAUCGGUGCACGGCUGCUGCCCUGCCGGACUCUGACUCAAAGGAAAUAACGAUGGACACGAUAGAUGCGCGUUCACCGAUGCAACGACCACGCGACACAAGCUCGUCGUCGUCGUCGUCGUCGUCGUCGUCGUCAUCCGAUCUAACUGGGAUUUUUCAACACAACGAUGGAUGGUGUUAUGCAACAGCCAACGAUCGUCGUGUUUCAACGCGCCGUGAAAUGCCUGUCGAUUGCGUAUUAUCGUUGCACACGCGACCUCGGUCAACCCGCGGAUCAUAGACUGUCGUCGAUCUCCGAGUGAAACUGCUCCGCCGUAGAGUGAUUCGCGAACGUUGCGAAAUCUUAUCUAUUCCGUUCGUUAGCGAUUGUAAUACAAAACUGUGCUUUUAAUAUCUGCGUAGCCUGUCACGUGUGUGUCAUCGGGUACCGCUCAGUUAGUCACGAACAGAGAAAACAACAACAAGCGGUUAGUGGAAAAGUUUCGUUGGCAACGCGAAAAUCUUCCGCGAUUGAUUGAACCCCCUCGCGCCCCCCGUUCGGAUUGGCAGAGCGGAAGCGAAAUUGCGAUCGACGACCGAACAAGCGACGGAGAAACGUUCGAUUCUUCAACGUGACCACCAUGGACAUGGAAUUUGCACCUCUCGGCAGACAGGCACCUCGCCAGGAAUUCGCUUCGCUGGCUGAAAUAUCCGGCCGCCACCGCGACGCUACGUAGUAGACGGCACCGAUCGUGAAAGUGUACAACCGCGUGUUGUCUGCGCGUAAUGCCAAUGCCUGGCUUAUUCCACUGCGCGUCUUGCGCAUGCGGUACUACUACUUCGCUUAUCUCAACGUUUAGGGGACAAGAGACUUGCUGGCAGAUAAUAAAAGGUUCAUUGCCCCUCUCAUCCUACCAAUUAUUUCUUCUUUUCACGGUGGACAUUGAUAUUCGAGCGAACGAAUUCGAGCAUAUCCGUUCCAUUCGUUCGAUAUAACUCUUUUAAUGAUUAACGUAACGUUAGGAUCUCAGAAUUACAAUCAAUAUCUUGUUUAAGGAAGUAGGUGAUAUAAAGUUGUAAACAAAUAGUGAACAACAUAUUUAUAUGUGAAGAAAUUAUUUAUGGAAUGACUUCAUAAUUAAAUACCAAUAGAAACAAUAAUUUUCAAUAUUCGAUAAUAUUCAAGCAAUAAAAACAGAACAGGUACUCGAGGAAAGUUCCAUAUACACUAGGCGAGCCAAUAUCGCACGAGCGACUUGCUUGGCACAAUUAGACACGGGCAAAAGUGCGUUUUAUGAAUAUUGGCGUAUUUUAUUGGUCUCCACGGACACGGUAUAGCGCUUGACGCGGUCCAAUUAAUUUUACCAUUAUAUCCUGAUAACUAACCGAUUACCGUCGCUCGCGUACUUUCGUUCCCGGUUGCAAAAUCGGUUCUCGCGGAUUAUGUUACUCGUACGACUAUCGCCUCGAACGACUAUGAAAUUGCACAGCGUUUGCAAUUUCUUCGUGGAACGUUGGAAUGCGCGGAGCGUACGAUAGAUUAGAAGCAACGAAAUCAAAUAAUAGAGGAGAAAUCGAUUGAUCGAUCGUUUCAUUGAAAAUCAUUCACCUUCGCCGUCUCUAAUUAUCGAGCUCGAACAAAAGAGCUCCUCUCCGUUGCUCGUUUCUGUGAUAUUGAAAAAAAAUGUUGAAAGCGAAAUGCGGGGAAGUGGGCCAUUAGAACGGAAAUUAAAAUUGUCCUUGUCCAAUCAUGAAUGCUCUGUUUAAUACCAGAACCAGCAGCGUUGAAUGCAUACCUACUUUUAUCACGCCCGUCAGCGGGGAGGAUAUUUGAAACAGUGGGCAAACUGCUUUUAGAUUUAAUUAACGAAAUUUCAUUUACUCGCGCGUAAUUUUCAACGAAGCUACGAUCGAUGAGGAUGGAAGCAAAAAAAAAGAAAAAUGAAAAGCACGAGGAGGCAGCAGUUUUCCGCACCAUGCCCCGAUUAUGCUUUCUAUUUUCAUCGGGUGAUUCGCGUUGUCAGCUGUCGCAUUGGCCGCACGUCACUUUGCAAAUAUUCCGGGACGUGAGAGCGUUCUGUGACGCGGGCGAACGGGCGAUCGCGCGAGGACGCGUGCUCGUUCGUCCUGGUACGGCGCGACGCGGCGGCGCGGUGGUUUGUUUUCAGAAGUCGAGUGGAGAACGGCGACCGAUUGGCCGUGGUUGUGGCUAACGGUAACGCACACUCGCGACCGGUUCGGUAAACGUACCGAAAAUAUUCGCGUGUUACGCGCGUCCGUGACCCAAAACUGUCCGUCACUGGUGAUCCUGGGGAUCGGAGCUAACGAGCCGUUCGUAGCCCGGUGACGCGAGCUCGACGAACACGGCGCGGCGUGUCGAUUAAAUUAGACGAGAAGCCAAUUAGAAUCCGCUGCCACUUAAGCUUCUCGAGAAGCGCGAGCUAAUUGCAUCGUACCCGCACGUGUCCUUUCCCGGGUAUCGUUGUUCCUAUCGCGGUCUCGAUUUCCUCUCGACGAAAAAUCAACUUCUCUACGCUUCUUGCAAAUAUCGGCUCGUUGUUUCGAGCUCGCAGUCGUAGACACGAGUAUUCAUAACUUUGUUUCCACGACGAAUCUGCAAUUCAACGUUGCAGCCGGAACGGGGUCAGCCGCGGGAGCGGAAACGUCGAUUAGAAUUACAAAGAAGCGGUCGUUAGUUAACGGUGCGAUCGUGUUUGUCGCCCUUUCACGAAGUACUAACAUCCACGCUUUUCAUUACUUCCAUUUCCUUUCAAUUGAAACUCGUUAAAAAGAUGCUUCUCGCUGGACGCUCUCCUUUUCCUCUCUGACGUCCGCCGACGUCACAAGUUGCCCACACUGGAGUAGAGAGUAAAAAGUUGACGCCAUUCGACGAGUCAUCGCCUAGUCUUUUAGUUUUCGCGACAUGCCAACAGAUUAUGUUGAGUGGAUGAUUGAAAUCAAUGGUUAUAAGAAAAAUGCUUUCCUAGAGCUGGUGUACGCGAUAGACAGACCUUGAGUUAUACACCGACUCCUCUAUUUAUGCGCUCCCACGAGCUCGGUCCAAAAGUAGGACACUGCUCCUAUAGGUUCAUUAGGACGAUCACUCGGUGUUGCAUCUUGUACGCGCAAACCAAUCCAAGUUAUCCAUAAAAACCGUGAGUGUUACUUUAGCACUGGAACUAUCAAGUCUGUCAAGAUGAUGCUUUUCUAACGCAAGAACCGUAGGUCGAUUGUUCUUUACUUAUGCAUCCGAGGAAGUUCACCUUAAAAGUGAGCAAAGACAAUCGAUUCGAGUUAUACUUGGAAAUAUGCUAAUACAUGGUACUCGCUGCAUCGUUAACUUUGUUUUGUUACGUUCGUACUUGGAUACACGGUAUAUACUUACAGCGAAGACAUUAUUAUCGGUCUUGUUAUUACGACUGUCUACGGAAUUAAACAGGAAAAACAUUUUCCAAGAUAAAUCGCCUACAUUCUACAAUAUUAUCUAUCAUUUGUUUUCGCCAACAUGUUUCAACGCGGAAACUGGCGCAGAAUUAACGCAGAUUACGUCGGAUCCUAAUCUCUCGACAUUUCGCUGUCGCCCGUGACGAAUUACACCGUUUCCUGGUGUAUUUUCGCUAUCCACUUCCAUUCCAAUUUCAUCCAUCCUCGUUAAAUAUAAAACGAAUCCCUGAAGGAUAGUCGAGAGAGUCGGUGGCAAUUUAAGAAGUAUAAUUAACUGGCUAUCGAAAGUCGAGAGACUCUCGAGCAUCCGCCACCCUGUCGACAGAUCGUUUGCACAUAUUUCCAAAGAAACUCUCUCGCUCUUUUCUCUCUUUCUUUUCGCUGGAUUGUGCGAAAUUGCAGCCACGAUUUGCGAAUACACACGAGCGUACAAUUACCCGUACUCUCAUGUUUCGUAAUACAUAUUUGUAUAGAGAAGGGAAAGUGACUGAAAGAAAUGAGCGGCAGAUGAAAUCACCAAACCCGUCGUCGGCGAGAAUUUUUCUCGAGAAAUUCAGGUACACCGUAACAUCUCGAAUACAAUGUGUUCGAUCUAUAGAACUAUUCUGGAAUAGUAGAAUUAGGGAAAUCGAUCGAUCGGUAUUGCGAAUAGGCGAGGGCCUAUGGUUGCUCAUGCGGCACACCGAUACGAACACUUUCACCUGGACCGAUGUAGAUCCAGAACUCUUCUGGAUCUCGCGUGUAACGUAAUAAUUUAGAAACCGGCGCGGCGGUUAGCUGGAACGUAGCUAACUCUCCGUUCCCUUUUUAUCCGCUCGCAAAACAUGGCCAGCGUGCACGGUUACCUUGCUCGAAUAAAACACAAUUCACGAGCGAGCGUCCCCGAUUAACCCGAAGCGUUUCGUGGAACGAUGUCGGGCUCGCGGAUCCAGGGAAGCUGCCAGUUCUUGUAGGCGAGAUCGAGCACACGGCCAAACUUGCGAGUUUUCCGAGAAACCGCGAUAAUACCGACACCGGUCGCCGCGAAUCGAAAGAUGUAAUUGACACAGAUAACUGUACGCUCGCCAUGCGGAGGAAUGUUUUUUGCGGCGAUCGCUUGCGGUGAACGCUUCGAUCACUCGCUGAGCCGGCAACCUGCGACUACCGAUACACAAAGAAACCUGUAAUAAUCCUAUCCAUGCCGAUUACUUUUGUUCAAUCAUCCAUUCAAUUAGUACCAGCAAUAACUUACGUUUAUUACAGGCUAUCGUGUGACGAUUUUCUACGCAACGUUAACCUCUCGCAAUCACUAUUAUAUUUUUUUUUCUGCAGAUUAUUACCACCUAUGUUGUUAAUUAAGCGAUACCAUAGACACGAUCGUAUUUAUAUAGCCAUCGUUUUUUUGUUCUCGCCAAAAUUUUCGAACGACUACCGGGUUCGAUCGAGAGAGCAGACGGGACGAAAUUGUGGAUGCUGUAGGGAGGUGCGCGUGCGCCGCUAAAAGGGGGUUCGCUCUUUAUCGAGGGCGUAACGCGAGACAAUCCGAUCUGAUUACGUCGCACGGUCCUCUACGAGAACUAUACAUCAAACCGGCCUGUUACCUGUUCCCGGGCGUCGCCAAGUCAACGAACGGAUCUUAACCCGUAAAUGUCGCCUACAACGGAACCAGUUUCGUCCCGUUCGACGCGAGGCGACGCGAGCGUUCGAAGCCAUCGAUAUACGAGAAGUGACGUCACUUGGAACGACAAGAGGGCUGCGCCACUCCGCACAGAGGAGAAGCAGAAAAAAGAAAGAAGCCAUGGACGCGGGUUGGAGAGAUCCAACGGGAGCAAAAUAAAUCGGACAGGGAGUGAUGAGGGAGCCGCGAGGGAUGGCGGAUCGAUAACACGACCUUGAGACACGUCGUCGCCUCGGCACGGCCGAGGAACCUCCGGUUCUCAUAAAAGAGAAUUACCGUUGGGAAGAGAGGACAACGCGUGGACAUACACAAACGCGCAAGUUCUCUGGGUCGACAGCAACUGAGAGGAGGGAGAAGAAAGGAGGAGAAAGAGGAGAAGGACCGUGUCGAAAAGGGAGAGACUAUCAUCGCGGCAUAGGGUGCACGAGAAGAGAAGAGAAAGAGAGAACAAGAAGCAAACAAAUGAUCGUGAAGACGGUGUGUCGUGGAUAUACAUACGUUUUAUUUCGAGAGGUACUUUCACAAAUAUAUUUUUCUCAGCCGGCACACCGCCUAUUUACGUAGCACGCCCGCGAUAAUGCACGUUUCCACCGAUCGUUGGCAUCGCUCAAGUUCGGCCAUUUUGGAUACAGUGACGUCAGCGACAGAAUCCGGGAAACGAGCACAGAGAAAGGCGUGUCAUCCGUCGCGCUAUGCUCCGACCCUGCAAUUUUCAAUCUCGCCGAGCGCAUCGAUCAGCGACUAUUCAUCCGAGAGUUAAAUCGUCCGCUUCACCCUCGGUAGGGUUGUAUUUUUAUAUCCGCGUAGAGAAAAUUGGCGACGCCGGUGUCCCAGCUUUGCCCUUUUUUCCUAUUUUUCUUUGUUUGUUUUCUUGCAGAGGAAAGACAAUGACGAACCAUAGCGUGCCCAAUUUGCAGUCCCGAUCGGACGAGUUUUUCUUUUAAUUACGAGAGAAAACGCACGAACGAGCAUUCAUCGGCCGACGUAACUUCCCAUUUCCCAUCGAAACGGGGAAACUCUCCGACGUACAUCCGGUGCGUGCCAUUGUGCAGCACUCGCGACCGUUUGCACGUUCACGGUUCGAAGCUCUGUUCUUUCAUAACGUUAACGUUAACCUUCCUGCGAUAAAAUCUGAAUGAUUUUUAAACCAGGAGAACCGGAGUCACGCGCUUGGAACAACAUUUAUUGAUUAUUUCCUACGGCCACUCUUAUAGUGGAUUCACCCUGUAAGGGUAGACGACGAUGAUCUUUCAUUGAAAUAAACUGUAAUUACUGCCAACGAUAUGAUGGUUGAUUGAAAGAGUUAAGAUUGGCCGUAAUACAUUUACAAGCGGAGAAACAGGAAAUUGGUAAGCGGGAAAAGCUGAAUGGUUUAACGAGGAUUAUUUUCCUACGAUAUAGUACCAGUCACAAGCAACGGCCUUACUAACGAUGACUCGCACCACUACACGUGGAAGAUAAUCACAUUAUAGGAGAAUACUCCAUAACAAAUCCAAUCAGUUUCCAUCUUCUGUCAAUUAUCGAUUUACUCUACGCGUGUAAUGCGCGUUUCACGUCUGAUCAAUAGUAAUACCUUAACACCUCUAUUCAAUUUUCAAUUUUCAAUUUUCAAUUUGCAAACGAUAAGUAUUAUAAGAUAGAACGAAUAGAAACAAAGUGAAUAAUAUUGGCGUUAAUACAAUUAUUCAAAAGAUUUUGCAAGUAUAAGAAAUUCUGAAUCAAAUAGUGAAAGCUUGUCCCAAAAUACGACUGAAAGAGGAUCAACUGCCAAACCAAUUACCCGGCAGAAAGGAGUUUGUAUAAAUGAAACGGAAUGAAUCACCGAUAUAGUUGGCAACGAAUGAUCGCUCCCACCACGUUUCCGCGAGAUCUGGCAAUGGUUUCGAGCCGAAAGGCAACAAAACGAAGAGAAAACAACGGGCAGAACUUUCUUUUCUGGAGCGGGCUCGCGAACCACCGCGAACAGAUAGGCAUCGGAUGUCGCAUCGUGAUACCAGCCGCUUCCUCUUUGGCGAACGCGGAAUUUAGAUAACAACGCGUCUCUUCCGGUUGCAACGUUGACGUAGUGCGUACAGGCGUUGCGUAACGCACGAGAAGCGAGCCGAACAGAGCGUAACAAUCUAUCGGAUGUACGCACGCCCGCUGCACGGGUGAACGUUCGGCAAUGUUCGUGCAAACUCGCUUCUCCCGCCAUUGUAACUAGACCGAUUUAUCGUGUGUGCGGGUGGGUCCAAUAAAAAAAUAAAAAAAAUGUUAUUUAUUCCGUUCGAUAUCAAUUUUCUUUUGUCGAUUAUAGAAAAUUUGAUGAGUCAAUCAUCGGUGACCUUCGCGAUAGCCAAAGUAUUAAAUUCGCCAUUUCUUCGACCUAUACUCGUGCAAGGACGUUGGCGAACGUAGGAAGAGGCACGUUUCAAACAACGCUUCAGCUAACAGCGAUGGUAGCGAAAACAAACGAUCGGAAAUGCACGAGUUCUCGAUGGAAUUUUACUUGGCGCGUGACAAAAUCGCGUUACGUAUUCAGCCGCGGUGCAAUGCACACACGCCAAACCGUCUUAUGCAUUUUCAUCGUCCCCUUUCCGCGAAUGCAGCUCGCGUUCCGUUGAUUCUUUCGCGCGGCCUUUAAGAAAACCGCAUUUCACGCGAGCUCCGUUUCUUACGAUUGUUCCGUAAUGCUGAUUUUUUUCUUUUUCGUCUUUCUCGAUCUGUACGCUCGGUGCUCGCUCGAUAAGCUGCGGUACGAACGGACGAGUGGCAAAGGUCAAAUAUUUCAAAUCUUCUCGAUGAUGGAAUUAUUUAACGAGCCGGCUACCGUUCGCCGGCGUAAAGUUAUUAUAAUUGGCCAGUCGGAUAGAGUCACGCGAAUGACGGUCAUUGAAAACGUGCCUAUUCGAUUUGCGCGGAUUCUCAGCACGCGUGCACUUUAUUGCACCGAAACGAGCGUCCUCGACAUACAAGAAGUAACAUACGUGCACGGCUACGCUUAACUGUGAACACAUCUUUUAUAAACGCCUGACGUAUCAGCCGAUCCAUCUUGGAUAUCUCCACGCAGAAACCAGUCGUUCUCUCAGGCACACAGUCAUAAUCAUUUGUAACGAGUCAUAAUUUUUUCUCCUCCUAUUAUUAAACACGUUGAAUCUCGCUGUUUACAAGAUUAACACUGUCGAUACAGCAUCGUCUCAGUAAUAUUUCUGAGAUGACGUCAAAGACAAAUGUCUAAAGGAUCGCGUUAGGAAUAAUAAACGGUUACGUGCUUUUGCAAACACCAAGCAUCUCUAAAACAGAAGUGUUUCGAGCAGGUGCGGAGAUAGUAUCUGUACGCACCAUCAAAGGAACAUCCGCAACACUAUGUCUAUACUAUGUGGCAAUGGUACUGAAAAAGUCAGUGUUUGCACGUUCCUCGUGAUUAUUUCAAAUUAAAUUAACAAUGUUAAAUAAAAGAUAAUUUUUAAAAGUAAAAAA